AAUUCUCAAACCUUCUUGGUUUCUUGAUCAAGAAGGCUUUGGACUUUGGAGGUCUUUUGCUGGCUUUGCGAAAAGUCAGCUCCUCUUAAAUGCAUUAGUGGGGUCCUCUUUGCCGAUCCCGAGGCGUUGAUAAGAUGUUUCUAUGUCUUGGGAUUUGCUCUGUUCAUUGGGAACCCACUUCUAACCGUCUCACUAUGGGAGACAUCGUUCGAGCUUGCUUGACCUACAAA
rnacentral:misc_RNA from 1 species